UCACUCAUCAUCUUCCUAUUUAAUUGUUCCCUUCAACGCGUCUUCCUCCAUAAUCUUAUCUAGAAAUCUACAACAGAAUCCCUCUCAAUUUUUCCUGCACGCACAACAAAAAGAAAGUGGAGAAGAGGGCGACGAAGGAGGAGAGCUCCUUCCAUCGGCAUUAGAGGGAGAUUUACAGUUGCAUGGGACAUUGGAAACCACAAGGCUUCGAUUGGAGUUCAAAGAUAAAUAGGCAUAUUGAGCCAGUCCCAAAAAUCAGAGGG